GAUGAACGCUAGCUACAGGCUUAACACAUGCAAGUCGAGGGGAAACGACAUCGAAAGCUUGCUUUUGAUGGGCGUCGACCGGCGCACGGGUGAGUAACGCGUAUCCAACCUGCCCACCACUUGGGGAUAACCUUGCGAAAGUAAGACUAAUACCCAAUGAUAUCUCUAGAAGACAUCUGAAAGAGAUUAAAGAUUUAUCGGUGAUGGAUGGGGAUGCGUCUGAUUAGCUUGUUGGCGGGGUAACGGCCCACCAAGGCGACGAUCAGUAGGGGUUCUGGGAGGAAGGUCCCCCACAUUGGAACUGGGACACGGGCCAAACACCUACGGGAGGCAGCAGUGAGGAAUAUUGGUCAAUGGGCGAGAGCCUGAACCAGCCAAGUAGCGUGCAGGAUGACGGCCCUAUGGGUUGUAAACUGCUUUUAUAAGGGAAUAAAGUGAGUCUCGUGAGACUUUUUGCAUGUACCUUAUGAAUAAGGACCGGCUAAUUCCGUGCCAGCCGCCGCCGUAA
rnacentral:rRNA from 1 species